CCUUACGUCCACUCUUACUUUGCAUGUAUAAUUUUGUCUUGUUUCCUCGUGUCAGGUAUUGUCUCAUUUACCUUAGACACUUUUCUUCUGUAUUCAUGAGUACUUCGGCAUACUCAUUUUUUAUCCCCUUAUCCUGUUAUGCUUUUUUCUCAUUUAUCUCUACCUGUGUGGGGAGUAAACUGAAUAUCUAGGUGCUUUCAUCUGCUCUUCAAUAUCAAGGUGCUUUCAUCUGUUCCUAAAUAUCGAGGUGCUUUUGUCUGUUCCUCAAUAUCGAGGUGCUUUCAUCUGCUCCUCAGUAUCAAGGUGCUUUCAUCUGCUCCUCAAUAUCGAGGUGCUUUCAUCUGCUCCUCAAGCCCCAAGUGGCUGUCGAGCAGAUUAAAUCACCAAAGCGGGCGACCUCGUAAUGAGCCAAUAGGCUUUCUGUUGCCUGGAUUUCCAUGUUUCCUCAUGUUAGUUUUCAAUCAGCAAGCCUAAUUUUUUUCCUCCUAUUUUCUCUCUGUAUUUGUCAUUAUAAAAUACAAUGGUUCCUUUUAUGAAACUGCUGGUAAUAGAUCAGUUUAAGUAUUUGCAUCCCUUCAUUGUUACUGUCAGAAAUGUAAACUAACAAAUGAUUUUUUCACAUUAACUGGGGCAGGGUGGCAAAUGUUUUUAGUUUGUCACCGUUACUGACAUGUAUCCUUACACUAACUUGCUUUACUUUUUAGUCUGAGUUUAGGGGGAGCUGUAUUUAGCCUUCCAGUGAAGCUAAGGCUCAUAUUCUCAAACAUUUCGUGGCUUAACACCCACAAUUGAUAGGACAUUCAUGGGGAUUGUUAGUAUUUCCAUGGGUAGUUUUAACAUACCCAUAAUUGAUAGGGCAUUCAUGGCAGUUGUUAGUAUUUCCAUGGGUAGUUUUAACACACCCACAAUUACUAGGGCAUUCAUGGAGGUUGUUAGUAUUUCCAUGGGUAGUUUUAACAUACCCAUAAUUGAUAGGCUAUUCAUGGAGGUUGUUAGUAUUUCCAUGGGUAGUUUUAACACACCCACAAUUACUAGGGCAUUCAUGGAGGUUGUUAGUAUUUCCAUGGGUAGUUUUAACACACCCACAAUUACUAGGGCAUUCAUGGAGGUUGUUAGUAUUUCCAUGGGUAGUUUUAACACACCCACAAUUACUAGGGCAUUCAUGGAGGUUGUUAGUAUUUCCAUGGGUAGUUUUAACACACCCACAAUUGAUAGGGCAUUCAUGGAGGUUGUUAGUAUUUCCAUGGGUAGUUUUAACACACCCACAAUUACUAGGGCAUUCAUGGAGGUUGUUAGUAUUUCCAUGGGUAGUUUUACGAGCCUAGUGAUAGUGUGACAAGGCUUCUGCACCAUGAAUGUGAAAAGCACCCGUGAGAACCUGACUAAUCUGUGUGGCUUUUGGAAACAUUUGUUGAGAGCCAAAAGGAUCUGAGAAUACAAGACCCAAAACUCACCCUAAAAUUAUCCUCUC